GUAGGUGGCAAGCGUUGUCCGGAAUUAUUGGGCGUAAAGCGCGCGCAGGCGGUUCGUUUAAGUCUGAUGUGAAAGCCCACGGGCUCAACCGUGGAGGGUCAUUGGAAACUGAGAACUUGAGUACAGAAGAGGAAAGCGGAAUUCCACGUGUAGCGGUGAAAUGCGUAGAGAUGUGGAGGAACACCAGUGGCGAAGGCGGCUUUCUGGUCUGUAACUGACGCUGAGGCGCGAAAGCGUGGGGAGCAAACAGGAUUAGAUACCCUGGUAGUCCACGCCGUAAACGAUGAGUGCUAAGUGUUAGGGGGUUUCCGCCCCUUAGUGCUGCAGCUAACGCAUUAAGCACUCCGCCUGGGGAGUACGGCCGCAAGGCUG
rnacentral:rRNA from 1 species